GUUCCUGGGUACUGGCGGUGAAGUAGGCCUGCUGCUGCUCCUCAAGCCCAUCCUCUACCAGCGCUGCCUCCUGUACUUAGACGCCCUUAGCCUUCCCGCCUGGACUGCCUCCCGAGGCUGUAGGAUGAGUGUGGCGUGGAGGAGCCCGGCCUCCAAGCCGGCUGAGGCCAAUGUCCCGAGGGGCACGUGGGCCGCUUGCGCAGGAAGAGGGGCCGGAGACCUCGAGGGCCGCGCCCUUUCCCCCCGGCCCUCGGCUUGCGCAGCGGGGAGCUGGGGUAUGAUGGCUGUUCCAGGUGAAGACAGCCAGAUGGUUUAAAUUGCUUUCUGGUGAGCGAGGACUCAAGCCAUGGCAGUGAUGGAACACAACCACCUCAGGACGUGGUUGCCACCACAUUUCCUGGCAGGGUCUGGCACUGAAAAAGCUCAAGACAUCAGCUUGUUGCUGCCCCUGUGCUUUAGAAUAAGAUCUGUCAUCAAUAAGCUGUCUUCAUCUAUGAUUAAUGAUCUACAGAGUUGGGAGAGAAGCUGUAUGAGAAGAAGCUAAGAGACAGGUGUGUGAGGGAGAGACUGGCUUCCUUGAACUAGAUCCAGGCCAGAAGAGAGAAUAAGUAACAGUAAAUCCCCUCAGACCACCUCCCAUGCCCCAUCGCCCGCGGCUGGUUCUUGAAACCACCUUUGCCCACCCCUUAUCUGGGGCUGGUCCCUACCUGCCUUGCCCUGCAGGGUGGAGGAUUGUCUUAAUAAACUCUUAAUGUAAUGAAA